GUGUGUUGUAGUGGUUUGAGUGUUGGACUAUGACUCUAAAGAUCAGGGUUCAAUUCCCUGUUCAAACA